GCCGCCUUAGCUCAGUUGGUAGAGCAUCUGAUUUGUAAUCAGACGGUCCUCGGUUCGAGUCCGGGAGGCGGCUCCA
rnacentral:tRNA from 3 species